CUCCUACGGGAGGCAGCAGUGGGGAAUAUUGGGCAAUGGGCGCAAGCCUGACCCAGCAACGCCGCGUGAGGGAAGAAGGCUUUCGGGUUGUAAACCUCUGUCCUUGGUGACGAAACAAAUGACGGUAGCCAAGGAGGAAGCCCCGGCUAACUACGUGCCAGCAGCCGCGGUAAUACGUAGGGGGCGAGCGUUGUCCGGAAUUACUGGGCGUAAAGGGUGCGUAGGUGGCCUUUUAAGUUGGAUGUGAAAUACCCGGGCUUAACUUGGGGGGUGCAUCUAAUACUGGAGGGCUAGAGUGCAGGAGAGGAAAGCGGAAUUCCUAGUGUAGCGGUGAAAUGCGUAGAUAUUAGGAGGAACACCAGUGGCGAAGGCGGCUUUCUGGACUGUAACUGACACUGAGGCACGAAAGCGUGGGGAGCAAACAGGAUUAGAUACCCUGGUAGUCCACGCGGUAAACGAUGAAUACUAGGUGUAGGGGGUAUCAACUCCCCCUGUGCCGGAGCUAACGCAAUAA
rnacentral:rRNA from 1 species